rnacentral:tRNA from 1 species
GCUCCCAUGGCGUAGUGGGGUCACUGCGCUCGCCUUGCACGCGGGAGACCCGGGUUCGAUUCCCGGCGGGGUCA